rnacentral:rRNA from 1 species
UNUGACUUGAGUGCAGAAGGGGAGAGUGGAAUUCCAUGUGUAGCGGUGAAAUGCGUAGAUAUAUGGAGGAACACCAGUGGCGAAAGCGGCUCUCUGGUCUGUCACUGACGCUGAGGCUCGAAAGCGUGGGUAGCGAACAGGAUUAGAUACCCUGGUAGUCCACGCCGUAAACGAUGAGUGCUAGGUGUUAGGCCCUUUCCGGGGCUUAGUGCCGGAGCUAACGCAAUAAGCACUCCGCCUGGGGAGUACGACCGCAAGGUUGAAACUCAAAGGAAUUGACGGGGGCCCGCACAAGCGGUGGAGCAUGUGGUUUAAUUCGAAGCAACGCGAAGAACCUUACCAGGUCUUGACAUCCCGAUGCUAUUCUUAGAGAUAGGAAGUUACUUCGGUACAUCGGAGACAGGUGGUGCAUGGUUGUCGUCAGCUCGUGUCGUGAGAUGUUGGGUUAAGUCCCGCAACGAGCGCAACCCUUAUUGUUAGUUGCCAUCAUUAAGUUGGGCACUCUAGCGAGACUGCCGGUAAUAAACCGGAGGAAGGUGGGGAUGACGUCAAAUCAUCAUGCCCCUUAUGACCUGGGCUACACACGUGCUACAAUGGUCGGUACAACGAGUUGCGAGCCGGUGACGGCAAGCUAAUCUCUGAAAGCCGAUCUCAGUUCGGAUUGGAGGCUGCAACUCGCCUCCAUGAAGUCGGAAUCGCUAGUAAUCGCGGAUCAGCACGCCGUGGUGAAUACGUUCCCGGGCCUUGUACACACCGCCCGUCACACCACGAGAGUUUGUAACACCCGAAGUCGGUGAGGUAACCUUUUAGGGGCCAGC